CAAGUAAAAAUUAAAUAUAUUUAUGGUGUAUUACUUGUUUUGAUAUAGUAUGUACAUUGUGGAAUGGCUAAGAUGUUUAACACAGGCAUUACCUCACAUACUAGUCUUUUUUUUGGUGAUGAAAACAUUAAAAAUGUAUUCUUAACAAUUUUCAAAUAUUCAAUAUAUUGUUAUUAACUGUAAUCAUCAUGAUGUACAACAGAUCUCUCAAACUUAUUUUUUUCUAACUGAAAUUUUGUGUCAUUUUUCUUACCAAAUCAGUAUAAAUAGAAUAAGACAUUUUCUUAUUCUUUUCAACA
rnacentral:lncRNA from 1 species